UUAUAUUCGAGAUGUGCAAGAUCCUUUUGAUUUUUGUUCAGACAUCGAAUUCAAGUAAAGAUAUAGAUUUGACAAGGAUAAUGUUAAAUUCGGAAUAUUACCUCUUAUAGAACAAAAAUUUAACUAAAGUCAAUAAACGAGGAUUACCAAUCCCACCAAUUUUUCAAUUAUUAUGAUUGCGAUUUUAUGCAACUGCAAGUUUUCAGGUGAUACCAUGACAGUAUCACAACCAACAGUUUCCAGAAUAGUUUUUUGGUGAGCGUUUUACUUGCAAGCGAAAUUCAUGAUUACAUUAAAAUGCCUCGAACUCAAGCAGCAAAAUUAGAAAACCAGAGACUUUUUGAACGUUUGGGAUUUGGUGAUGGAGCAAUUGGAAUACCCGGGUUGAUGGAGCAAUUGAUUGCACUUAUAUCCGAUGAGUUCAUACAAUGUUUCAAAAUAUUAAUGAAAUCAACAGAAAUCGAAAGGGCUAUUUUUCUCUGAAUGUACAAGCGAUUGUUGGCUCAUGGAUGGAAUUUUUAGAUAUUGUUCCAGAAUGGCCUGGUAGCGCUCAUGAUAGUCGAAUUUUUCAAAAUUCUCGAAUUUACAUGAGAUAUUCUGAACGUGAACUAACUGGGAUACUUGUCUACGUAUUCUUUGAUAAUUUGU
rnacentral:lncRNA from 1 species